GGGUUGUGAGGUUAAGCGACUAAGCGUACACGGUGGAUGCCCUGGCAGUCAGAGGCGAUGAAGGACGUGCUAAUCUGCGAUAAGCGCCGGUAAGGUGAUAUGAACCGUUAUAACCGGCGAUUUCCGAAUGGGGAAACCCAGUGUGAUUCGUCACACUAUCAUUAACUGAAUCCAUAGGUUAAUGAGGCGAACCGGGGGAACUGAAACAUCUAAGUACCCCGAGGAAAAGAAAUCAACCGAGAUUCCCCCAGUAGCGGCGAGCGAACGGGGAGGAGCCCAGAGCCUGAAUCAGCAUGUGUGUUAGUGGAAGCGUCUGGAAAGGCGCGCGAUACAGGGUGACAGCCCCGUACACAAAAGCGCAUGUGCUGUGAGCUCGAUGAGUAGGGCGGGACACGUGGUAUCCUGUCUGAAUAUGGGGGGACCAUCCUCCAAGGCUAAAUACUCCUGACUGACCGAUAGUGAACCAGUACCGUGAGGGAAAGGCGAAAAGAACCCCGGCGAGGGGAGUGAAAAAGAACCUGAAACCGUGUACGUACAAGC
rnacentral:rRNA from 1 species